rnacentral:rRNA from 1 species
UGGGGAAUAUUGGACAAUGGGCGCAAGCCUGAUCCAGCAAUGCCGCGUGUGUGAAGAAGGCCUUCGGGUUGUAAAGCACUUUUAUCAGGAGCGAAACGCUGUCGGCUAAUACCCGGCGGAACUGACGGUACCUGAGGAAUAAGCACCGGCUAACUUCGUGCCAGCAGCCGCGGUAAUACGAAGGGUGCAAGCGUUAAUCGGAAUUACUGGGCGUAAAGCGUGCGUAGGCGGUUUCUUAAGUCUGCUGUGAAAUCCCCGGGCUCAACCUGGGAAUGGCAGUGGAUACUGGGAGGCUAGAGUGUGUCAGAGGGUGGUGGAAUUCCCGGUGUAGCGGUGAAAUGCGUAGAGAUCGGGAGGAACAUCAGUGGCGAAGGCGGCCACCUGGGACAACACUGACGCUGAGGCACGAAAGCGUGGGGGAGCAAACAGGAUUAGAUACCCUGGUAGUCCACGCCCUAAACGAUGCGAACUGGAUGUUGGUCUCAACUCGGAGAUCAGUGUCGAAGCUAACGCGUUAAGUUCGCCGCCUGGGGAGUACGGUCGCAAGACUGAAACUUAAAUGAAUUGAC